AUGAUGGGGGUCAAGACCUCCUACUCCAUCUCCAUUUCCGGUGACAGGACAGGCUGUCAGAACACAGUCCUUGACACCCAGGCAGACUCUGAGACUGUGAGCAUGAGGAAGCUGGCUAAAGACAUGGACGAGCUGGCACUCGAGGGGGCAGAAAGACAGGCAGAGGCAGGCACCCCAGACAGGGAAGCUAGCAAGCAGUCUGAGAGCAACAAUGGCACCCCCUCAUCUUGA